rnacentral:rRNA from 1 species
AUUGAACGCUGGCGGCAUGCCUUACACAUGCAAGUCGAACGGCAGCACGGGAGCAAUCCUGGUGGCGAGUGGCGAACGGGUGAGUAAUACAUCGGAACGUGCCCAGUAGUGGGGGAUAGCCCGGCGAAAGCCGGAUUAAUACCGCAUACGACCUACGGGUGAAAGCGGGGGAUCGCAAGACCUCGCGCUAUUGGAGCGGCCGAUGGCAGAUUAGCUUGUUGGUGGUGUAAAAGCCUACCAAGGCGACGAUCUGUAGCUGGUCUGAGAGGACGACCAGCCACACUGGGACUGAGACACGGCCCAGACUCCUACGGGAGGGAGAGGUGGGGAAUUUUGGACAAUGGGCGCAAGCCUGAUCCAGCCAUGCCGCGUGCGGGAAGAAGGCCUUCGGGUUGUAAACCGCUUUUGUCAGGGAAGAAACGGCUUAAUCUAAUAAAUUAAGCUAAUGACGGUACCUGAAGAAUAAGCACCGGCUAACUACGUGCCAGCCGCCGCCGUAAAAC